GACGAACGCUGGCGGCGUGCUUAACACAUGCAAGUCGAACGGUAAGGCCCUUCGGGGUACACGAGUGGCGAACGGGUGAGUAACACGUGGGUGAUCUACCCUGCACCUCGGGACAAGCCUGGGAAACUGGGUCUAAUACCGGAUAGGACUCCGGACUGCAUGGUCUGGGGUGGAAAGCUUUUGCGGUGUGGGAUGGGCCCGCGGCCUAUCAGCUUGGUGGUGGGGUGAUGGCCUACCCAGGCGACGACGGGUAGCCGGCCUGAGAGGGUGACCGGCCACACUGGGACUGAGAUACGGCCCAGACUCCUACGGGAGGCAGCAGUGGGGAAUAUUGCACAAUGGGCGCAAGCCUGAUGCAGCGACGCCGCGUGAGGGAUGACGGCCUUCGGGUUGUAAACCUCUUUCAGCAUCGACGAAGCGAAAGUGACGGUAGGUGCAGAAGAAGGACCGGCCAACUACGUGCCAGCCGCCGCGGUAA
rnacentral:rRNA from 1 species